rnacentral:rRNA from 1 species
AUUGAACGCUGGCGGCAUGCUUUACACACGCAAGUCGAACGGUAACAGGGUGCUUGCACCGCUGACGAGUGGCGAACGGGUGAGUAAUGCGUCGGAACGUGCCGAGUAGUGGGGGAUAACGCAGCGAAAGUUGUGCUAAUACCGCAUACGUACUGAGGUAGAAAGUGGGGGACCUUCGGGCCUCACGCUAUUCGAGCGGCCGACGUCUGAUCAGCUAGUAGGUGAGGUAAAGGCUCACCUAGGCGACGAUCAGUAGCGGGUCUGAGAGGAUGAUCCGCCACACUGGGACUGAGACACGGCCCAGACUCCUACGGGAGGCAGCAGUGGGGAAUUUUGGACAAUGGGCGAAAGCCUGAUCCAGCCAUGCCGCGUGUCUGAAGAAGGCCUUCGGGUUGUAAAGGACUUUUGUCAGGGAGGAAAUCCCUAGUGCUAAUAACACUGGGGGAUGACAGUACCUGAAGAAUAAGCACCGGCUAACUACGUGCCAGCCGCCGCCGUAA